CGGAACGCUGGCGGCGUUGCCUACAGCAUUAAGUCGAACGAUGAAGCUCCGUGCUUGCACUGGGUGGAUUAGUGGCGAACGGGUGAGUACACGUGAGUAACCUGCCCUUUACUUCGGGAUAAGCUUGGGAAACUGGGUCUAAUACCGGAUAUUCUGCAUGGUCGGAUGGUUGUGUAGGAAAGAUUUUUUGGUAAGUGGAUGGGCUCGCGGCCUAUCGGUUUGUUGGUGGGGUGAUGGCCUACCAAGACGACGACGGGUAGCCGGCCUGAGAGGGCGACCGGCCACACUGGAGACUGAGACACGGCCAGACUCCUACGGGAGUGCAGCAGUGGGGAAUAUUGCACAAUGGGGGAAACCCUGAUGCAGCGACGCCGCGUGGGGGAUGACGGCCUUCGAGGUUGUCAAACCUCUUUCAGUACGGGAAGAAGCGAAAGUGACCGUACCUGCAAAGAAGUACCGGCUAACUACGUGCCAGACAGCCGCGGAUAAUACGUACGGUACUAGACGUUGUCCGGCAAUUAUAUGGGACGUAACAGAGGCUCAGUAGGUAGGUACUCGUCAGCGUCUGCUUGUGGGAAAAACGUGCCAGGUUUAAACGGUGCCGCGGUGCAGGAAGGCGGUAACCCGGGGGCAGGCGAACCUAAGAGGCUUGACAAGAAAAGAGCGGGGACAGUCCUUCGAGGAAACUCACACCUAGGAGAU
rnacentral:rRNA from 1 species